GUUAGGGAGCCGGAGACCAAGGUAACAUCGGCUCGCUUGCCCUCCUUUUGCAUAUUGCACGCUAGGAGUUAAGAUCUAAUUGUUGCAUUUCCCAGGUGUUUCCAUCCUUCACCCAGAACCAUACGGAGCUUGUGUUACCAGCUCCCCCGCCGCCCAAGAGGGUGAGGGAGCAAGAGACCAAGGAGAUUGGCUCCAUUUUUAAACAGAAGAAGAAGAUUGUCAAUCUCGCCGGAGAUAAUGGGAUUACGGAGGCGUUCCAGCUCGGGGGAGAUGUUGAGAUCAAGCUCGAGGAAAAAGAUGAGAUGGAUGAGCCGGUCAAGAACUUUGGAGAAGAUCAGAUCAAGGACAAUGAGGUUACUAGGACUCGUUUCCUUUCUUUUUAUCGGUAAUCAAGGAAAGUAAGAGCAAGAUUAAUAACAUAGCCGGCUGCUGGCUAUAGAGCCCUGCCAUAUCAUCUUGCAGUCAUCAUAAAGCCCACUCACACAAUAGAUUGACUACUCGUAUUAGGCUAGCUGCUAAGUAAGUUUUAUUAGAGAUUUAAUAAUUUAAUGUUUGAAUGCUAUUGGGCUUAGGGGCAAA